CCCCUCUCUCUAUCUCUACCUCCACCUCCAUAUAUAAGCCACAAUCUCAGAAAACCCACCUGUUUCUAGGACACUUAACAGAUGUUCAAAGAGAGAGAUCCCUCACAAAUUUCAGGGUUUUUGUUUUAGGGUUCUAAUAUUUGUUAAGUGUAUUAGAAUUAACGAAUAAAUAGGUGUUUAUAUGAAAAUGGAAGAAGGGUCUUUCUGCACGGAGAAAAGAAAGCAAAGACAGUCCCAAAAAGACAAACCCUACAGAGGAAUCCGCAUGAGGAAGUGGGGAAAGUGGGUUGCAGAAAUAAGAGAGCCCAACAAAAGGUCAAGAAUUUGGCUUGGUUCUUAUUCUUCGCCGAUCGCCGCCGCCCGAGCCUACGACACGGCGGUGUUCUACCUGAGAGGCCCUUCUGCUCGGCUUAACUUCCCUGAGCAGCAUAAAAAUAGGCCGCAUUUGAUUUGAUAUUUUCAGUUUUCAAUUUUAGAAAAAAAAAAAAAAAACUGACAACGUGUUUGAAUUAAUAUUUUUGAAAAUACAUUUUAGAAAAAUAGGAUUAAAUUUAUAAUAUAAAACUCAAAACUGACAUUUUGAUGUUUUCAAUGAAAAUUUUGAAAACACUCAAAACAUGAAAAAUAAGUGUUUAAAUAAAAUUAUAAUAAAUACAAUUUUAAAUUUUAAAAAAUAUAUAUAUUCAAAAAAAUAAAAAAAUAGAAAUGAUAAAUUCUAAAAAGUAAAGAUUUUGAGUAAAUAAAAUUUAAAAUUCUAAAAAAAAUAAAUUUCUAAAAAAAAUUAUAAAAAAAAUAAAAAUAGUUCAAACUCUUAAUAAUUAUUUACAUAAAACUUCUAAAAAUAUAUUUAAAUAAAUAAGACAAAAAUAUUCUUAGUGCAGGUCAUUAAUUUUUGAACUCAAUUUAUUAUUUAUUUUACUUUAUUUUGGUAGGUAAAAAAAAUAUUGUAUGGUUCACCAACUUUAAAAUAUAUAUUUAAGUUAAUAAUAUAUUAACAUAAAUUUAUUAUAUUUUUACUAAAUCAAAUUUCUUGAAAUAAAAUUUCAUAAAACAAUUGCUAAAAAUUUCAAACUAAACGUGUUUCCUAAUUUUUGGUUUUGCAAAUAAUUUUUUAAAAUGACAGAUGGAACGUAUUUUAGCAAUUUUAAAACAAAUUUUUAAACUGAAAAAUUGAAAAUGAACUCAAAACUGAAAAAUUAAAUACAAAUCAAACGGAUCCUCACUCUCUUAAUUUUGAUGCAAAAGAAUCGGUGCUGAAGAAUAGAACCGACUAAAACCCGGUCCACCGUUACAGUUUUUGCUUUUUAUGAUUAACAAACGGGAUUAGAUUGAACCGAUGUUAUAUGUCGGCCAAAAUUGUACUUAUCUUUAAGGAAAAUUGGGCGUGGCGGCCGUUCCCGGACGACACACUAGCAGCCAAGUAAGACAACUCUUAUUGCGUGCUGCCAAUGCACACCAAACCCCACCCCACCCCCUCUCUCUAUCUCUACCUCCACCUCCAUAUAUAAGCCACAAUCUCAGAAAACCCACCUGUUUCUAGGACACUUAACAGAUGUUCAAAGAGAGAGAUCCCUCACAAAUUUCAGGGUUUUUGUUUUAGGGUUCUAAUAUUUGUUAAGUGUAUUAGAAUUAACGAAUAAAUAGGUGUUUAUAUGAAAAUGGAAGAAGGGUCUUUCUGCACGGAGAAAAGAAAGCAAAGACAGUCCCAAAAAGACAAACCCUACAGAGGAAUCCGCAUGAGGAAGUGGGGAAAGUGGGUUGCAGAAAUAAGAGAGCCCAACAAAAGGUCAAGAAUUUGGCUUGGUUCUUAUUCUUCGCCGAUCGCCGCCGCCCGAGCCUACGACACGGCGGUGUUCUACCUGAGAGGCCCUUCUGCUCGGCUUAACUUCCCUGAAUGUAUAGCCGAAGGUGAAGUAUGUCAUGAAUUGUCGGCUGCGGAUAUAAGAAAAAAAGCCACCGAGGUUGGUGCUAGAGUGGAUGCGUUGCAGAAUACACUCCAUGCACCGAC
rnacentral:lncRNA from 1 species